UUAAAACCCUGAGGAAGGCGUCGGACCUGUGGUAGCCUAGCAGCUCGCUACAAGCUCUCAUGGGAGUGCGUGUUAAGAUGAUCUUAGUUGCUUCCUUUACACUCCCAUGAGAGCUUUGUAGGGCGUCCAGCAGGUGUCCCCCCCCCCCCCUGCUUCCACCGCUCACUCACGCUGCUUUACUUCACUCGCUGCGAGUCCCUGGAUGUACUGUAUGAGCACGUUGUGGCGGAGGGGCUUAAGCCAGUGACUUCUUUCUUUGUGAAGGGACUCCGCUCAGAUGCAUUCCGAACCCAUGAGAUGUUUGUGCUUGCGGGUGGAGAGUUUAGCAGAUGUGGCUCCGUCAGAAGGGGGUGCUGAGAAGCUGAGAAGCUGAGAAGCUGAGAAGCUGAGAAGCGGUUGAUUGACGAUCAGACGGAUGCUCAACAGCUAAAAGUUUGGAUCCCCCGAAGGGACCAGCUGUGAGUGCAAGACCCAAUUCUACCAACCCAAGAUAACUUACUGACUAAUAGUAGAGAUUUAUGGCCAAAUUAUUUUAUUUAUUGUAAUUUUUAUUUUCAACAAAGAUUUUUUUUUUAAAAGUGUUCCAGGACCGAGUUCUUUUAAAUCCCCUGUAUUUAUUUUAUUUGAACAGCAAACAUGAGGGAAUCCGUCAGGUAGAAGCAAAGCAUUGUGGGAAACUGUAACAGGAACCAAAAAGACCUCGGGGGGGGGUGGCGGACAUGUGAGACUGUAAGUGUACACAGCGGCGUGUUUCUUCCACCUCUUGGCCCCCACGUACACGCGCUCACACGGCGGGGGCCGCGAGGCGUCGCCACCAUCUUCUCCGGACAAUUCAGUCACAACGAACGACUCCGUGGAAACACGGCACAGCACUGUGGAAUUCUGAUGCACUACAUUCCGACUUCCCCCGAUCCUCUUAACGUGUUGGAACGCAGGCCGCGGCGGCCUCAUCACGCACAGUGUGAUUGUGCGUCCCACGUGUGCGCUACGGAUGACGGGGACAAAAGAGAGCGUGAGCUGAUCGAUGGCAGAGGAAAGAGGAAGUUUGGAGAAAGGAAAACGAGAAAAGACUGAAGGAGAGAACAGUGGCACGUUCAGCGUCGUGUUCCUCAGCUCCUAAAACACUUCACAACCUAUUUUAAACAAAUACGUUGCUUAUUAUAUAAUUGCAGCCCUCAUAAGUGUGCGCCAGUCGCUAUGUAGUCAAAACUUCAAUAACGCCCCUCAAAGCUUUCUGUGUUUUAACUCUUGAGUCGUAGAAAGAGCAGGAAUGUUCUCUGCGUGCGGCUGGUUCCUCUGGUACCUUCACGGGACACCUGUACUCGGACCAGAGAUGUGAAGCGUGCCGACAAGCUGCCUUCUAAAAAUCCACAUGAUGAUCCACCAUCUCGGGUCUUUUUCUUGUUGUUUUCGGACGAAUCAGAAAAUCUUCCUCCAAAAAAAAAAAAAAAACCCAAAUCCGAAUGUCUCAGUUUGCCCUCCGGUUCUCUCAUGAAAUCAAUGCUUUUAUUUCUUUGAAAAUAUAUUUUAGCCUGACUCUGUUCUAGAUGUGGGUUAAUUGUGUUCCGCGUUAAAGCAAACUGAAUGACCUCAUGAACUUGAUUGUAAAACCAUAGUUUAGUGAUGGGAACAAAGCAAACCAGUGGGAUUUCUUUUUAAUCUUUAUUUACAGAAUUUUUGUAUUUAAACCUACAUAUUUGUAUUGUAAUUACAUUGUACAAAAGAUAAAUAAAGUAAUAUAAUAUUA
ensembl:lncRNA